rnacentral:ncRNA from 2 species
GGUCACGAGUGCCAGCGUAAAACCCCGGUUUGCUGGCCGGCAACCCUCCACCUGCGGUGGGGUGCCCCGGGUGAAGACCAGGCCCCGAGCCAACCAGCUCCGGGGGCAAGCGCGGGAC